GCAAGUCGAGCGGUAACAGGAGUAGCUUGCUACUCGCUGACGAGCGGCGGACGGGUGAGUAAUGCUUGGGAAUCUACCUAGUCGAGGGGGACAACAGUUGGAAACGACUGCUAAUACCGCAUACGACCUACGGGUGAAAGGGGGCCUCUUCUUGAAAGCUCUCGCGAUUAGAUGAGCCCAAGUGGGAUUAGCUUGUUGGUGAGGUAAAGGCUCACCAAGGCGACGAUCCCUAGCUGGUCUGAGAGGAUGAUC
rnacentral:rRNA from 1 species